rnacentral:rRNA from 1 species
GGUAGCCGGCCUGAGAGGGNGACCGGCCACACUGGGACUGAGACACGGCCCAGACUCCUACGGGAGGCAGCAGUGGGGAAUAUUGCRCAAUGGGCGMAAGCCUGAYGCAGCRACGCCGCGUGAGGGAUGACGGCCUUCGGGUUGUAAACCUCUUUCAGCAGGGACGAAGCGAAAGUGACKGUACCUGCAGAAGAAGCNCCGGCUAACUACGUGCCAGCAGCCGCGGUAAUACGUAGGGNGCNAGCGUUGUCCGGANUUAYUGGGCGUAAAGAGUUCGUAGGCGGUYUGUCGCGUCGGANGUGAAAACCCGGAGCUCAACUCCGGGCCUGCNUUCGAUACGGGCAGACUUGAGUGUUGCAGGGGA